rnacentral:lncRNA from 1 species
AAUGGGGGUUGUGUGGCCAUUGAUCAUCGACCAGACGCUCAUACACCUCACCCCACAUAUGUUUCCUUGCCAUAGAUCACAUUCUUGGAUUUCUGGUGGAGACCAUUUCUUGGUCUAAAAUCCGUAGGUGUUAGCCUCUAGUAUUAUUGAAAAUGGUCGUUCAUGGCUAUUUUCGACAAAAAUUAGGGUUGUGUGGCCAUUGAUCAUCGACCAGAGGCUCAUACACCUCACCCCACAUAUGUUUCCUUGCCAUAGAUCACAUUCUUGGAUUUCUGGUGGAAACCAUUUCUUGGUUAAAAACUCGUACGUGUUAGCCUUCGGUAUUAUUGAAAAUGGUCAUUCAUGGCUAUUUUCGGCAAAAUGGGGGUUGUGUGGCCAUUGAUCGUCGACCAGAGGCUCAUACACCUCACCCCACAUAUGUUUCCUUGUCGUAGAUCACAUUCUUGGAUUUCUGGUGGAGACCAUUUCUUGGUCAAAAAUCCGUAGGUGUUAGCCUUCGAUAUUAUUGAAAAUGGUCGUUCAUGGCUAUUUUCGACAAAAAUGGGGGUUGUGUGGCCAUUGAUCAUCGACCAGACGCUCAUACACCUCAACCCACAUAUGUUUCCUUGCCAUAGAUCACAUUCUUUGAUUUCUGGUGGAGACCAUUUCUUUGUCAAAAAUCUGUACGUGUUAGCCUUUGGUAUUUUUGAAAAUGGUCAUUCAUGGCUAUUUUCGACAAAAAUGGGGGUUGUGUGGCCAUUGAUCAUCGACUAGAGGCUCAUACACCUCACCCCACAUAUGUUUCCUUGCCAUAGAUCACAUUCUUGGAUUUCUGGUGGAGACCAUUUCUUGGUCAAAAAUCCGUAGGUGUUAGCCUUCGGUAUUAUUGAAAAUGGUCGUUCAUGGCUAUUUUCGGCAAAAUGGGGGUUGUGUGGCCAUUGAUCGUCGACCAGAGGCUCAUACACCUCACCCCACAUAUGUUUCCUUGUCGUAGAUCACAUUCUUGGAUUUCUGGUGGAGACCAUUUCUUGGUCAAAAAUCCGUAGGUGUUAGCUUUCGGUAUUAUUGAAAAUGGUCGUUCAUGGCUAUUUUCGACAAAAAUGGGGGUUGUGUGGCCAUUGAUCAUCGACCAGACGCUCAUACACCUCACCCCACAUAUGUUUCCUUGCCAUAGAUCGCAUUCUUGGAUUUCUGGUGGAGACCAUUUCUUGGUCAAAAAUCCGUACGUGUUACCCUUCGGUAUGAUUGAAAAUGGAGGUUGUGUGACCAUUGAUCAUCGACCAGAGGCUCAUACACCUCACCCCACAUAUGUUUCCUUGUCGUAGAUCACAUUCUUGGAUUUCUGGUGGAGACCAUUUCUUGGUCAAAAAUCCGUAGGUGUUAGCCUUCGAUAUUAUUGAAAAUAGUCGUUCAUGGCUAUUUUCGACAAAAAUGGGGGUUGUGUGGCCAUUGAUCAUCGACCAGAGGCUCAUACACCUCACCCCACAUAUGUUUCUUGCCAUAGAUCACAUUCUUGGAUUUCUGGUGGAGACCAUUUCUUGGUCAAAAAUCCGUAGGUGUUAGCCUUCGGUAUUAUUGAAAAUGGUCGUUCAUGGCUAUUUUCGACAAAAAUGGGGGUUGUGUGGCCAUUGAUCAUCGACCAGACGCUCAUACACCUCACUACACAUAUGUUUCCUUGCCAUAGAUCACAUUCUUGGAUUUAUGGUGGAGACCAUUUCUUGGUCAAAAAUCCGUAGGUGUUAGCCUUCGUAUUAUUGAAAAUGGUCGUUCAUGGCUAUUUUCGACAAAAUGGGGGUUGUGUGGCAAUUGAUCAUCGACCAGAGGCUCAUACACCUCACCCCACAUAUGUUUCCUUGCCAUAGAUCACAUUCUUGGAUUUCUGGUGGAGACCAUUUCUUGGGCAAAAAUCCGAAUGUGUUAGCCUUUGGUAUUUUUGAAAAUGGUCAUUCAUGGCUAUUUUCGACAAAAAUGGGGGUUGUGUGGCCAUUGAUCUUCGACCAGAGGCUCAUACACCUCACACACAUAUGUUUCCUUGCCAUAGAUCACAUUCUUGGAUUUAUGGUGGAGACCAUUUCUUGGUCAAAAAUCCGUAGGUGUUAGCCUUCAGUGUCAUUGAAAAUGGUCGUUCAUGGCUAUUUUCGACAAAAAUAGGGUUGUGUGGCCAUUGAUCGUCGACCAGAGGCUCAUACACCUCACCCCACAUAUGUUUCCUUGCCAUAGAUCACAUUCUUGGAUUUCUGGUGGAGACCAUUUCUUGGUCAAAAAUCCGUAGGUGUUAGCCUUCGGUAUUAUUGAAAAUGGUCAUUCAUGGCUAUUUUCGACAAAAUGGGGGUUGUGUGGCCAUUGAUCUCGACCAGAGGCUCAUACACCUCACCCACAUAUGUUUCCUUGCCAUAGAUCACAUUCUUGGAUUUCUGUGAACCAUUUCUUGGUCAAAAUCCGUAGUGUUAGCCUCGUAUUAUUGAAAUGGUUCAUGGCUUUUUCAUUGUGUGCCAUUGAUCUCGACCAGAGGCUCAUACACCUCACCCCACAUAUGUUUCCUUGCCAUAGAUCACAUUCUUGGAUUUCUGGUGGAAACCAUUUCUUGGUCUAAAAUCCGUAGGUGUUAGCCUCUAGUAUUAUUGAAAAUGGUCGCUCAUGGCUAUUUUCAAGGUCGCUCAUGGCUAUUUUCAUAAAAAAUGGGGGUUGUGUGGCCAUUGAUCAUCGACCAGAGGCUCGUAAACCUCACCCCGACCAUUUCUUGGUCAAAAAUCCGUAGGUGUUAGCCUUUGGUAUUAUUGAAAAUGGUCGUUCAUGGCUAUUUUCGACAAAAAUGGGGGUUGUGUGGCCAUUGAUCGUCGACCAGACGCUCAUACACCUCACCCCACAUAUGUUUCCUUGUCGUAGAUCACAUUCUUGGAUUUCUGGUGGAGACCAUUUCUUGGUUAAAAAUCCGUAGGUCUUAGCCUCUAGUAUUAUUGAAAAUGGUCGCUCAUGGCUAUUUUCAUAAAAAUGGGGGUGUGUGGCCAUUGAUCAUCGACCAGAGGCUCAUACACCUCACCCCACAUAUGUUUCCUUGCCAUAGAUUACAUUCUUGGAUUUCUGGUGGAAACCAUUUCUUGGUUAAAAACUCGUACGUGUUAGCCUUCGGUAUUAUUGAAAAUGGUCAUUCAUGCUAUUUUCGACAAAAAUGGGGGUUGUGUGGCCAUUGAUCAUCGACCAGAGGCUCGUACACCUCACCCCACAUAUGUUUCCUUGCCAUAGAUCACAUUCUUGGAUUUCUGGUGGAGACCAUUUCUUGGUCAAAAAUCCGUACGUGUUAGCCUUUGGUAUUUUGAAAAUGGUCAUUCAUGGCUAUUUUCGACAAAAAUGGGGGUUGUGUGGCCAUUGAUCAUCGACUAGAGGCUCAUACACCUCACCCCACAUAUGUUUCCUUGCCAUAGAUCACAUUCUUGGAUUUCUGGUGGAGACCAUUUCUUGGUCAAAAAUCCGUAGGUGUUAGCCUUCGGUAUUAUUGAAAAUGGUCGUUCAUGGCUAUUUUCGACAAAAAUGGGGGUUGUGUGGCCAUUGAUCAUCGACCAGACGCUCAUACACCUCACCCCACAUAUGUUUCCUUGCCAUAGAUCACAUUCUUGGAUUUCUGGUGGAGACCAUUUCUUGGUCAAAAUCCGUAGGUGUUAGCCUCUAGUAUUAUUGAAAAUGGUCGUCAUGGCUAUUUUCGACAAAAAUGGGGGUUGUGUGGCCAUUUAUCAUCGACUAGAGGCUCAUACACCUCACCCCACAUAUGUUUCCUUGCCAUAGAUACAUUCUUGGAUUUCUGGUGGAACCAUUUCUUGGUUAAAAAUCGUACGUGUUAGCCUUCGGUAUUAUUGAAAAUGGUCAUUCAUGGCUAUUUUCGGCAAAAUGGGGGUUGUGUGGCCAUUGAUCGUCGACCAGAGGCUCAUACACCUCACCCCACAUAUGUUUCCUUGUCGUAGAUCACAUUCUUGGAUUUCUGGUGGAGACCAUUUCUUGGUCAAAAAUCCGUAGGUGUUAGCCUUCGAUAUUAUUGAAAAUGGUCAUUCAUGGCUAUUUUCGGCAAAAUGGGGGUUGUGUGGCCAUUGAUCGUCGACCAGAGGCUCAUACACCUCACCCCACAUAUGUUUCCUUGUCGUAGAUCACAUUCUUGGAUUUCUGGUGGAGACCAUUUCUUGGUCAAAAAUCCGUAGGUGUUAGCCUUCGAUAUUAUUGAAAAUGGUCGUUCAUGGCUAUUUUCGACAAAAAUGGGGGUUGUGUGGCCAUUGAUCAUCGACCAGAGGCUCAUACACCUCACCCCACAUAUGUUUCCUUGCCAUAGAUCACAUUCUUGGAUUUCUGGUGGAGACCAUUUCUUGGUCAAAAAUCCGUAGGUGUUAGCCUUCGGUAUUAUUGAAAAUGGUCGUUCAUGGCUAUUUUCGACAAAAAUGGGGGUUGUGUGGCCAUUGAUCAUCGACCAGAGGCUCAUACACCUCACCCCACAUAUGUUUCCUUGCCAUAGAUCACAUUCUUGGAUUUCUGGUGGAGACCAUUUCUUGGUCAAAAAUCCGUAGGUGUUAGCCUCUAGUAUUAUUGAAAAUGGUCGUUCAUGGCUAUUUUCGACAAAAAUGGGGGUUGUGUGGCCAUUGAUCAUCGACCAGAGGCUCAUACACCUCACCCCACAUAUGUUUCCUUGCCAUAGAUCAC